GUAUGUACUGGCUUUACUGAUUCCUCCUUCUUGACGAACCGUGAUGUCAUUAAUUUGGUGUUGCGGGAAAUCAGAACUGUUACUUUGAAAAAAUUAGAGUGUUUAAAGCAGGCUAACGCUUGAAUACAUUAGCAUGGAAUAAUGAAAUAGGACGUUAAUCCUAUUUUGUUGGUUUCUAGGAUCGACGUAAUGAUUAAUAGGGAUAGUUGGGGGCAUUAGUAUUCAAUUGUCAGAGGUGAAAUUCCUGGAUUUAUUGAAAACUAACUACUGCGAAAGCAUUUGCCAAGGAUGUUUUCAUUAAUCAAGAACGAAGGUUAGGGGGAUCGAAAACAAUCAGAUACCGUCGUA
rnacentral:rRNA from 1 species